GAGGAGCACGGAGAAGCCAACUUGCUGAGCAGUGGAGCCCUGACGUGGACGAGGAAAUUCAGCCUGGAUUAUUUAGCCCUGGACUUCAACUCAGCGUCACCAGCCCCUGUGCAGCAGAAACUCCUCUUCUCAGAGGAGCAGAGAGUAGACUACGUGCAAGUGGACGAGCAGAAGACGCAAGCUCUGCAGAGCACAAAGCAGGAGUGGACGGACGAGAGGCAGUCCAAAGCGUGACGGCGCUGGGCUGCGGGCAGGGGCUCUGAGGGGGGCCGGCCCUCGUCAGCGGCCGCGCUCGCCCCUGCCGAGCCUCAGGCCGGUGCGCCGGGACGUAGACAGCUCCAUCCCGGCAGGGUGGGAGCCACCAAAGCAAAAGAGGCGUCAGAAAUCUUCUCCAGUGGAGCCUUUGACGUGCAGAUUGGAGCCAACGGGAUGACAUCUUUUGACUCCAGCGCCUGAAGUCUCGACCUCUGUCCUGUGCUUCCGCUGGAAUCAUGAAUGAUCCGAGGAGAGACGCGCCUGGACACCAUCUCGUCCCCACCCCUGAGGACACAGUGCAAGACACCAAGCCUAGGGAUGGUGGCAGGAAGACAAUGCCAGUGACAGGAGCAUUGAGUCCCGAGGUCCGGCAUGAGCAUAUCAGAUGACCCCCGGUGGCUCUAGGGACAUCGUUGUGCUUAAGCAGCUGCCUGUGGCCGGGUGUCCCUUUGCUGUUGGCCUUUUCCCGGCAUGCUUUCACACGCACCGUCUCAUCUCUUCCCCUCAAAGACCUCGGAAGCUAGGCUUGGCGGCGAUCACUGCUCCCACGUCGAGGAAAACAAUACCAAGAACCAGAGAAGGGAACGCUUGGCCCAGGAUGACUCAUGGAGUGAGACAGCGAGUCCGGCUCCUUCCGCCGUCUAAUGCUGCCUCAGUCACUUAGGGUAACUUCGGAGACGCGUGGGAGACACGUGCAGACACGGGAUGACUCAUCAUCUCCUCUCCCUUUCAUAGGAUUUUGAGCAGGUGCUUUUCCACUUGAAAGAAAUGAUCCCAGAUACCACUCCAAGUCAAGUACACAUGGCAUGUCUGUACACUGCGCAGAGUACACCUUUCUAGAAGAUCUGGGAAUCAACAGGACAGUGCAGCCAUUAAUCUCGCAUUAUUUUCUGUAGCUCCUUUUUGCUCCGUUUCCUUCCGUCUCCUUUCAUUAGGAAAUACUUCCAGAUCAGGGGUUUUGUCAUGCAGAAAGGGGGACCGAAGGGUCUCAAGCCUAAGUCCACAGGCCCAGGAACGUUGGGAGUUAAGCUUUCCUCGCGGAGGGAGGAGCCCUGAGGCCCAGCACACAGCCUGGCUACAAGCGCAUGGUGUGACCCUGGGGACUCAGUGUCCAGGCCACUUCGCCACGCAGCAAACAGCAGCUGAGUCGUGGCCGUUGGGUCCGGGUCGAGACUGAUGGCUCCCCUUAGGCCUGGCCUCCCCCCUCUCAAGGCCUCCUCCUCGGGCCCCGUUCAAACCACCUUUGUAUCCACAACCGUGCAGAUGUUUAACAAUUCACUACGCUUUUACUAUUUCAUGUCUGGCAUUAAUAAAAGUCUUAUAAGGAGAGGAAUCGUGACCUAAGUGCCCUCUUAUUUAAGUGACGACAUCUGAAAAACUACGGGACACAUUCUGAAACCUGAAUAAGUGGAAGUAGACUUCACUGCCAUUUUCAAGUACAACAGACUUCACCUGACUCCCAUGGCAUGACCUGCAUCCAUGUUACUUCGCUGCAAACG